UCAAGGGAGGAAGACAAGGUUUCCUGCAGAAAUUCAGCUGGAGCCUCAAAACUCCCCAGCCGUGAGUGAUCCAACUCUUUCCUCUGCCCCAGGUGGUGGGUCUGAGCCUAGAUGAGUAGCCCACAGGCUAGCAGGUCCUCAGAGACACAGCUCUGAAGGUGGAGAUCCGCUUGCCUCCCUGCCGUGACGCAGAUCACACACCAAAAAGGAGGCUUCACUUGGAGUGCUUCCCGCAAUGGGGCCAGACUUGUUUAUCCAGAAAGAAGUGACUUCACUGGGAAGAGGCUCACAGGAUUCCCCAUGAGGCUGCCCCAUUGAAAACCACCCUUGGAGACCUGGGUUGGCCACAGAGCUGUUGACACAGAUGUGCUAAGCCCGGAGACUCACUG